rnacentral:rRNA from 1 species
GCGGCGUGCCUAAUACAUGCAAGUCGAGCGAACGGACGAGAAGCUUGCUUCUCUGAUGUUAGCGGCGGACGGGUGAGUAACACGUGGAUAACCUACCUAUAAGACUGGGAUAACUUCGGGAAACCGGAGCUAAUACCGGAUAAUAUUUUGAACCGCAUGGUUCAAAAGUGAAAGACGGUCUUGCUGUCACUUAUAGAUGGAUCCGCGCUGCAUUAGCUAGUUGGUAAGGUAACGGCUUACCAAGGCAACGAUGCAUAGCCGACCUGAGAGGGUGAUCGGCCACACUGGAACUGAGACACGGUCCAGACUCCUACGGGAGGCAGCAGUAGGGAAUCUUCCGCAAUGGGCGAAAGCCUGACGGAGCAACGCCGCGUGAGUGAUGAAGGUCUUCGGAUCGUAAAACUCUGUUAUUAGGGAAGAACAUAUGUGUAAGUAACUGUGCACAUCUUG